GGAAAAGGAGAUAGAAACACAACACACAACCACAACCACCACCAACAACAACAACAACAACAACAACACACAGAGGUCACACUGGAAGAGGACGAGUAUGAUGACCUUUUCUUUGACCUUGAUGACCCAGAUGACCUUGAUACACCUCCUGACCUUGAAAUAAUGAAAGAAAACGAGAGGAACAUCAACAAAGAAAACGAGAGUGGGACAGAUUUUCGAAGCAGGAUUUUGAAAGCUAUUGGAGGAGGAGGAGGAGGAGGAGGAGGAGGAGGAGGAAGAGAAGGAAGAUAGUUGUCUCCCUCCUCCUUUCUUUAAUUCUUCCUCUUCCUCUUCUUUUUCUUCUUCUUCUGCUUUUGGUGUUUUAAGGCCCAGCACUGCCCCACAGAAGAGGAAGCCAAGUGACAUCGUUAAGCCAGUCAUUAAGAGGAAGUUUCCCGGCCCAGCUGGUCUCCUCCCCCAGAUGGGGCAACCAAGGAGUGAGGCAUCC